GUUGAAAAGGGGCAAAAUGCCGAUGAGCAUGAACGGAUGAAGGCGUUGGGCUCUUGAACCCUCUCGAGAAACCAAACCAGAUCUCAUUCCCACGCGUACAGUUUUCGCCAGUAAAGCUUCCAGCUGCUUGUAUCAAAAUUAUAUCCAUCCUGGUGUGGCAUGAUAUUAUAGCUAGGUUUAAACUUCACCAUAUUAAUUCCUGCCCUGACGCCGAUUCCUCUUCGCGCGAGCCUCAUUCCCUCCGCUUCUCGUCACCGGCUACGGAGGGGCGAGAGAAAUGGGAAGUGCGUCGGCCCUCUCCUCGUUCCCUCUCCCGGUAUGGCAUGAUAUAAAUCGGAAGGGCGUGGUCUCCGAGAGUUUUUGCCAUCCUCAUCGAGGCUGCUUCCAGCGUCGGCCCUCUCCUCCUACUCCUCCUCUCCCCUUCUUUCUCACUGCUUCCAAAUCCAAGGCCUCGAUCCCCAGCUUGCGGAUUUCUAACUGUCAAAGAGCUAUCAGACAUGUCAUCUGUCUGAGUGGAACGAAUUCUGCAGAAAAUUAUACGCCGGACGAUACCACAUCUUCAUCUAAGGAUGCAGCUUUUGAUAUAGCACUUCCUAGGAGAAGUUUGAUGGUGCAGUUCACAUGUGAUGCCUGUGGUGAAAGAACUCGGCGUCUUAUCAAUAGAUUAGCCUAUGAGCGUGGGACUGUUUUUGUACAGUGUGCAGGGUGUCUUGUGUAUCACAAAUUUGUUGACAACCUUGGUCUUGUGGUUGAGUAUGAUCUUCGGGAGGAACUACAUGGAGAUUCUGAUGGUAUUGCGGAGACUGGGACUUCGAAUUCUGAAAGCUAAAAUAUGUCAUGGAUAUCAAGUGCUCUGCCCAAUCCGCUGUUCCUAGAAGCUUCACGGUUCGAAACUCAGCUUAGGCAAGGGCUAGGCAACAGAAGGGAAGCCAUCUCGAUGACCUAAAAAAAAAAAAAAUCAAGUCCGUCUUUUGUUCUACUCUUCAGAUUCUCCAGCUUUUCAACUUAACACACAUCAAGUCGACCAGAUCUUGAAGAGCAACAAUUGGUGGUCAAUAUUCGGGAACAAUUGGUGGUCAUCGAUGGCAUGGUAGUUGGCCCUUAGAUGCAUGAGGGAUCCGGCCUGGCUGGAGAGGGGAUGGGUCAAGUUUGUUUCCUUGUUGCUGGUAGCGAACACGAUGACCCACACCUCUCCCCUAGUCGAGCAUAGUCCAUUGUCGAAGUUAGAGCAGGCCUGAGAGUGUCACCACUAGUCUGACAUUGUUGAACAAACCAAUGUGAAUAAUGAUCUAUGAUCACUAGAUCAGAUUAGGAUUGUUUUGAAAUCUAUGUAAGCCAAGUUUGUAGAGGAUGGGGUCAACACUAACCUUGUGAUCCCCUGAAGAGGAAAUCCAUCUGUCCUGUGAUCCACUCUCCUCCCUCUGCCCCAGCUCUGUAGUGCAAUCAAUGUUCUCAAUCACAAUCACUAGGAUUGAUCGAUUCAACAUUCCGGCAAGCAAUCUUCAAAUGGUCGAAUUCCAUAUUACUUAAGUGGAUACCAAAUUAUAGAUGUCAAACUUGAGAGAGCCUUCCCAAUCCUCUUGUAAUAGCCCGUAUUCACGAACCUUGCUCGAUCCUCCAUGACUUUCUGCUUGAGCUCGGCAUCCGUUGCCAAUGGAUCGAAAGUUGAUGGGUGGUGGAGAUCUAUUGGGCUCCAACGUUCCCGCUUGUUAACUGGAGUGUCCUGUUGUCCUCAUUUAUAGCUUUUGCUCGGGCAAGGAUGGAUGGCAAGGAAGAAUUCAGUGCUUUGUCCAUGUGCUUCUUGUGAAAGCCGAGCUCAAUCCGGAGCUUGGGCCACCUGCUCCUGCUCGUCUUUUAUUAUGUAAUUUUUUUGCUGAUGUUUCUUUUAGCUAAAACCUUUAUAGACCUUUGGCCCAAUUUUGUUUGUUUCCAGAGCUUAGUGCACCUGCUCCUGCUUGUCUUUGAUUAUGUAAAUUUUUGCUGAUGUUUCUUUUAGGUAAAACCUUUAUAGACCUUUGGCCCAAUUUUGUUUUGUUUUCUUGUACAGGAGCAAAGUCUAUCGCUCAUUUCUCCAUUGCGCUUUUUUUUUAUUAUUAUUAUUUGGCUAGGUUGUUCA